GAUGAAGAACGCAGCGAAAUGCGAUAAGUAAUGUGAAUUGCAGAAUUCAGUGAAUCAUCGAAUCUUUGAACGCACCUUGCACCCUUUGGCAUUCCUAAGGGUAUGCUCGUUUGAGUGUCAUUGUACUCUCACACUUCCGAUCUUUGGAUUGGGAGCGGUGGACUUGGGUGUUGCUGCUUACUGUGGCUCACCUCAAAUCGAUUCGUGCACCUCUUGGUUGGACAUAGUACGGCGUGAUAAGUGUCUUCGCCGGCACCUCAGUAGAGGGUGGCUGAUCGGGAGCUCUGCUUCAAACCGUCCUCGGACAACAACUGACAACUUGACCUCAAAUCGAGUAGGACUACCCGCUGAACUUAAGCAUAUCAAUAAGCGGAGGA
rnacentral:misc_RNA from 1 species